rnacentral:rRNA from 1 species
AGAGUUUGAUCCUGGCUCAGGAUGAACGCUGGCGGCGUGCCUAAUACAUGCAAGUCGAACGCUUCACUUCGGUGAAGAGUGGCGAACGGGUGAGUAAUACAUAAGUACCUGGCAUCUACAGGGGGAUAACUGAUGGAAACGUCAGCUAAGACCGCAUAGGUGUAGAGAUCGCAUGAACUCUAUAUGAAAAGUGCUACGGGACUGGUAGAUGAUGGACUUAUGGCGCAUUAGCUUGUUGGUAGGGUAACGGCCUACCAAGGCGACGAUGCGUAGCCGACCUGGGAGGGUGACCGGCCACACUGGGACUGGGACACGGCCCAGACUCCUACGGGAGGCAGCAGUAGGGAAUUUUCGGCAAUGGGGGAAACCCUGACCGAGCAACGCCGCGUGAAGGAAGAAGUAAUUCGUUAUGUAAACUUCUGUCAUAGAGGAAGAACGGUGGACAUAGGGAAUGAUAUCCAAGUGACGGUACUCUAUAAGAAAGCCACGGCUAACUACGUGCCAGCAGCCGCGGUAAUACGUAGGUGGCGAGCGUUAUCCGGAAUUAUUGGGCGUAAAGAGGGAGCAGGCGGCACUAAGGGUCUGUGGUGAAAGAUCGAAGCUUAACUUCGGUAAGCCAUGGAAACCGUAGAGCUAGAGUGUGUGAGAGGAUCGUGGAAUUCCAUGUGUAGCGGUGAAAUGCGUAGAUAUUUGGAGGAACACCAGUGGCGAAGGCGACGAUCUGGCGCAUAACUGACGCUCAGUCCCGAAAGCGUGGGGAGCAAAUAGGAUUAGAUACCCUAGUAGUCCACGCCGUAAACGAUGAGUACUAAGUGUUGGGUGUCAAAGCUCAGUGCUGCAGUUAACGCAAUAAGUACUCCGCCUGAGUAGUACGUUCGCAAGAAUGAAACUCAAAGGAAUUGACGGGGGCCCGCACAAGCGGUGGAGCAUGUGGUUUAAUUCGAAGCAACGCGAAGAACCUUACCAGGUCUUGACAUCGAUCUAAAGGCUCCAGAGAUGGAGAGAUAGCUAUAGAGAAGACAGGUGGUGCAUGGUUGUCGUCAGCUCGUGUCGUGAGAUGUUGGGUUAAGUCCCGCAACGAGCGCAACCCCUGUUGCCAGUUGCCAGCAUUAAGUUGGGGACUCUGGCGAGACUGCCGGUGACAAGCCGGAGGAAGGCGGGGAUGACGUCAAAUCAUCAUGCCCCUUAUGACCUGGGCUACACACGUGCUACAAUGGACAGAGCAGAGGGAAGCGAAGCCGCGAGGUGGAGCGAAACCCAUAAAACUGUUCUCAGUUCGGGCUGCAGUCUGCAACUCGACUGCACAAAGAUGGAAUCGCUAGUAAUCGCGAAUCAGCAUGUCGCGGUGAAUACGUUCUCGGGCCUUGUACACACCGCCCGUCACACCAUGAGAGUCGGUAACACCCGAAGCCGGUGGCCUAACCGCAAGGAAGGAGCUGUCUAAGGUGGGACUGAUGAUUGGGGUGAAGUCGAAACAAGGUA